rnacentral:siRNA from 1 species
AGAAAUCACCAGUUCGAGUGACGC